rnacentral:lncRNA from 1 species
AGUGGGUCACUUUAACUUUGAGGAGGUAAAGUGGGAUUUGACCAAUGUUUUAAGGUGCACUGUAGCAAUUAAGCACAAAAGAAAAAGCCUCCAUGAUCUUUAUUAUUUACUAGAAAAAGAAAGAAAAACUUACAAGUUCUACCGUCACGACCGCCACUGCCACCACCACUACCACCACCACUAUCAGCUCUACCGUCACCACCGC